GACGAACGCUGGCGGCGUGCUUAACACAUGCAAGUCGAACGGAAAGGCCCCUUCGGGGGUACUCGAGUGGCGAACGGGUGAGUAACACGUGAGUAACCUGCCCUUGACUUCGGGAUAACUUCAGGAAACUGGGGCUAAUACCGGAUAGGAAUCCUUGCUGCAUGGUGGGGGUUGGAAAGCUUCGGCGGUUUUGGAUGGACUCGCGGCUUAUCAGCUUGUUGGUGGGGUAGUGGCUUACCAAGGCUUUGACGGGUAGCCGGCCUGAGAGGGCGACCGGCCACAGUGGGACUGAGAUACGGCCCAGACUCCGACGGGAGGCAGCAGGGGGGAAUAUUGCACAAUGGGCGGAAGCCUGAUGCAGCAACGCCGCGUGCGGGAUGACGGCCUUCGGGUUGUAAACCGCUUUCAGCAGGGGCGAAGCUUGUGGUGACGGUACCUGCAGAAGAAGCACCGGCUAACUACGUG
rnacentral:rRNA from 1 species